rnacentral:rRNA from 1 species
AGCGUUGUUCGGAAUUACUGGGCGGAAAGGGCUCGUAGGUGGCCAACUAAGUCAGACGUGAAAUCCCCAGGCUCAACUUGGGAACUGCGUCUGAUACUGGAUGGCUUGAAUUCGGGAGAGGGAUGCAGAAUUCCAGGUGUAGCGGUGAAAUGCGUAGAUAUCUGGAGGAAUACCGGUGGCGAAGGCGGCUUCCUGGACCGAGACUGACGCUGAUGAGCGAAAGCGAGGGGAGCAAACGGG